GGUGACCAGCGGAGGGAUCAUUAAAGAGUUUUUACAACUCCCAAACCCCUGUGAACGUACCUCUUGUUGCCUCGGCAGGCCUCGCCUACCCUGUAGCGCCCCUACGCUGUAGGGCCUACCCGGGGAGUGCGGGGGUCCCUGCCGGCGGCCCGCAAAACUCUGUUUAGCACUGAAUUUCUGAAUAUAUAACUAAAUAAGUUAAAACUUUCAACAACGGAUCUCUUGGUUCUGGCAUCGAUGAAGAACGCAGCGAAAUGCGAUAAGUAAUGUGAAUUGCAGAAUUCAGUGAAUCAUCGAAUCUUUGAACGCACAUUGCGCCCAUUAGUAUUCUAGUGGGCAUGCCUGUUCGAGCGUCAUUUCAACCCUUAAGCCCCUGUUGCUUAGCGUUGGGAGCCUACGGCAGCGUAGCUCCCCAAAGUUAGUGGCGUGGUCGGUUCACACUCCAGACGUAGUAGAUUUUCACCUCGCCUGUAGUCGGACCGGUCCCCUGCCGUAAAACACCCCAAUUUUUAAAGGUUGACCUCGGAUCAGGUAGGAAUACCCGCUGAACUUAAGCAUAUCAAUAAGCGGAGGAAAAGAAACCAACAGGGAUUGCCCUAGUAACGGCGAGUGAAGCGGCAACAGCUCAAAUUUGAAAUCUGGCCCUCGGGUCCGAGUUGUAAUUUGUAGAGGAUGCUUUUGGCGCGGUGCCUUCCGAGUUCCCUGGAACGGGACGCCUUAGAGGGUGAGAGCCCCGUACGGUUGGACACCAAGCCUCUGUAAAGCUCCUUCGACGAGUCGAGUAGUUUGGGAAUGCUGCUCUAAAUGGGAGGUAAAUUUCUUCUAAAGCUAAAUAUUGGCCAGAGACCGAUAGCGCACAAGUAGAGUGAUCGAAAGAUGAAAAGCACUUUGAAAAGAGGGUUAAAUAGCACGUGAAAUUGUUGAAAGGGAAGCGUUUGCGACCAGACCUUUUCCUAGCGGAUCAUCCGGUGUUCUUCACCGGUGCACUUCGCUAGGUUGAGGCCAGCAUCGGUUUUCGUAGGGGGAUAAAAGCCCUGGGAACGUAGCUCCUCCGGGAGUGUUAUAGCCCUCUGCAUAAUACCCUUACGGGGACCGAGGACCGCGCUUUAGCAAGGA
rnacentral:rRNA from 1 species